rnacentral:lncRNA from 13 species
CUGCCAUUGCUCACCACUUCCCCUGCUGACCCUCUGGUCUGAGCUGCCAUCAACUCAGUGGAUUGAGAUUGCUGGCGUGUUCUCUUUGUUGCUCAGUCAGAGAGAUGCUGCCAGCUCCAUCGUCUUUAUUUUUAUAUUGGCGCCUGGAAGACUCACCUCAAAGAGAAGAGACUCUGAAGACAAUGAGAAGGGCAGUGUAGACCUUUACAAGAUGCAGGGACCUGGGGAAGAUGUUAUGAGACAAUUCACAGAAAACACCUAAACCACCAUGUGGUCUCUGAUUCAGAUUGCACAUUUCAUGGAAAUUUAUUUCAGCCUUGUCUCAUAACUGUGCAAGUCUAAAUGCUUCACUGAAAAUCUCUGAGUCUCGCAUGUAUACAGUGGGGUCAAAUCUGACCUACCUAGAAGCUUUGUAAAGAGGAUUAAAUAAAAG